GUUAAAGCUAAACCAUUUGGACUAGUUCAAGAUUCUGACUUGAGUGUGACUACAAGGCUUGCUUGUGGGGCUGCUGCUGGAACUGUUGGCCAAACUGUCGCUUAUCCUCUUGAUGUUAUUCGCCGGCGAAUGCAGAUGGUGGGUUGGAAAGAUGCUGCUUCUAUUGUCACUGGUGAUGGGAGGAGCAAGGCCCCCCUUGAGUAUACUGGCAUGAUCGAUGCAUUCAGGAAAACUGUUCGGUAUGAGAGCUUUGGAGCAUUAUACAAGGGUUUGGUACCCAAUUCUGUAAAGGUAGUCCCAUCUAUAGCAAUUGCAUUUGUGAC
rnacentral:misc_RNA from 1 species